GCGAAAGCGGGCUUCGGCCCGCAAGUAGAGUGGCAAACGGGUGAGUAACGCGUGGGUGACCUACCUUCGAGUGGGGGAUAACCUUCCGAAAGGAGGGCUAAUACCGCAUAACAUCCCGCUCUUGGACGAGCGGUGAUCAAAGCUGGGGAUCGCAAGACCUAGCGCUUGUUGAGGGGCCCGCGUCCGAUUAGCUUGUUGGUGGGGUAAUGGCCCACCAAGGCUACGAUCGGUAGCCGGCCUGAGAGGGCGGACGGCCACACUGGGACUGAGACACGGCCCAGACCCCUACGGGAGGCAGCAGUGGGGAAUUGUUCGCAAUGGGCGAAAGCCUGACGACGCAACGCCGCGUGGAGGACGAAGAUCUUCGGGUCGUAAACUCCUGUCGAGCGGGAAGAACAGCGUGCCGGUUAAUACCCGGUGCGCCUGACGGUACCGUUAGAGGAAGCCCCGGCUAACUCCGUGCCAGCAGCCGCGGUAAUACGGGGGGGGCAAGCGUUGUUCGGAUUUACUGGGCGUAAAGGGCUCGUAGGCGGCCAUCUAAGUCGGUUGUGAAAUCCCUCGGCUCAACCGGGGAACUGCGACCGAUACUGGGUGGCUUGA
rnacentral:rRNA from 2 species